rnacentral:rRNA from 1 species
GAAACGGCUACCACAUCUAAGGAAGGCAGCAGGCGCGCAAAUUACCCAAUUCUAACAGCAUAAGAGAGGUAGUGACAAGAAAUAACAGUACAAGGCAGUUAAAAUGUUUUGUAAUUGGAAUGAUAGAAAUUUAAACACUUUUUAAAGUAUCAAUUGGAGGGCAAGUCUGGUGCCAGCAGCCGCGGUAAUUCCAGCUCCAAUAGCGUAUAUUAAAAUUGUUGCAGUUAAAAAGCUCGUAGUUGAAUUUUUGCUAGAAAUAACCGGUCUGCUUUUAUUAAUAAGAGUGGUACCUUGGUGUGUUUUUAGCAAUAAUGUCCUUUGAAAUGUGUUUUACUUUAUUGUAAAAGCAAUAUUCAGGAUUUUUACUUUGAGAAAAUUAGAGUGUUUCAAGCAAGCUAACGUUUUGAAUACUGCAGCAUGGAAUAAUAAAAUAAGAUUUUGGUUCUACAUUAUUGGUUUUAAGAACUAAAUUA